rnacentral:rRNA from 1 species
UACGUAGGCAGCGAGCGUUGUUCGGAGUUACUGGGCGUAAAGGGUGCGUAGGUGGCGGGGUAAGUUUGAUGUGAAAUCUCCGGGCUUAACCCGGAAACUGCAUUGAAUACUAUUCUGCUCGAGGUUUGGAGGGGGGACUGGAAUUCUCGGUGUAGCAGUGAAAUGCGUAGAUAUCGAGAGGAACACCAGUGGCGAAGGCGAGUCCCUGGACAACACCUGACACUGAGGCACGAAAGCUAGGGGAGCAAACAGG